GGAGAAGUACCCAAGUGGUGAAGGGGCUCCCCUGCUAAGGGAGUAGAUCGGGUAACCGGUGCAUGGGUUCAAAUCCCAUCUUCUCCGCCA
rnacentral:tRNA from 1 species